rnacentral:rRNA from 1 species
AAACCACCAGGGAUUGCCUUAGUAACGGCGAGUGAAGCGGCAAAAGCUCAAAUUUGAAAUCGGCCCCCAGGUCGAGUUGUAAUUUGUAGAUUGUAUCUUGAGAGCGGAUUAAAGUCUGUUGGAACACAGCGCCUUAGAGGGUGACAGCCCCGUAAAAUCUAUUCUCAUUGUAAGAUACUUUCGAAGAGUCGAGUUGUUUGGGAAUGCAGCUCUAAGUGGGAGGUAAAUUCCUUCUAAAGCUAAAUAUUGACGAGAGACCGAUAGCGAACAAGUACUGUGAAGGAAAGAUGAAAAGCACUUUGAAAAGAGAGUGAAAAAGUACGUGAAAUUGUUAAAAGGGAAGGGUAUUGAAUCAGACUUGGUGCUGUUGUUCAACCAUGUUUCGGCAUGGUGUACUCAGCAGUACUAGGCCAAGGUGGGGUGUUUGGGAGUGAAAAAGAAGUAGGAACGUAACUCUUCGGAGUGUUAUAGCCUACUUUCAUAGCUCCUCAGGCGCCUCAGGACUGCGCUUCGGCAAGGACCUUGGCAUAAUGAUUCUAUACCGCCCG